CUUUUUCUGGUUGCAGCCUAAGCAAUUAGGCUGAUGGCUGGUGACUUUUUUAGUCACCAGCCU
rnacentral:sRNA from 1 species